ACUCCUACGGGAGGCAGCAGUCGAGAAUCUUCCGCAAUGGGCGAAAGCCUGACGGAGCGACACCGCGUGCAGGACGAAGGCCUUCGGGUUGUAAACUGCUGUCACGCUCUAGGAAUGCCAUGUCGUUAAUAGCGGCAUGGUUGACCAAGGCGAGAGGAAGUGGCGGCUAACUCUGUGCCAGCAGCCGCGGUAAGACAGAGGCCACGAACGUUGUUCGGAAUCACUGGGCAUAAAGCGCACGUAGGCGGCUGGGUCCGUCCGAUGUGAAAGCCCCCGGCUCAACCGGGGAAUUGCAUCGGAUACAGCCCGGCUUGAGGACGGUUGGGGUGAGUGGAACUCCU
rnacentral:rRNA from 1 species